AAAAAAUUCAGAAACCUAAAACGGCUGCUUCCCAAAAAGAAAUUCGAAAAAUAGCUUGUUAUUCUGGAGGUUCUCUAGGCAACUACUGAAAAUUUUGUUAGGAUUUUGGUUAUUCUGAAUAGUCCAGUUAAAAUCAUUGAAGCUGAGAUAGUUUUUUUCUGAUUCUGGGCUGAAAAUGAGUUGAGUUCUGGGUAUUUUUUAAAGCUGGUUUGGACUUGUUGUUGAGAAAUACUUUCUCAUUGCUGAUUUGAGCUGAUUUCACUAUUCCAUUGGCUCUAUUGGUGCUGAUAUCUGCUGUUAUUACUGCUGAUAUUUCACUUUCUUUUGGUUUUGCUGUUCAAUAUCAGGUACAUGGCUUGAAUAUUAUUUAAUGUAGAACUGUAUUGGAAGAAAAUGAAAUGGAAAUCAAGAUUUAAAGUGUAGAAGUCGAUUUUCUUGUGUUUCUACAACAUUUCCUCGCUUUCAUGUCUUUCAUAAUGUGAUUCCUAGUAUAUUAGGUGAUUUGGAAUUUGAAAUAGUUGUCUUUCAUGCUUGUAUUUGAUUUGGAAUCCUGGAGAUGCUAUGAUAGAAGAUUUGGUCUGGAUUUCUGUAUUUUAAAUGCACUUUCUUUUGGCUAUAGCAAUGGUCAUGCUUAUUGAAGAUUGUAAUCUAGAUUGGUUGCAAUGGCUAUGUAUAGGAUAGGGAUAAAAUGAUAACAUUUUAUAUGCUAUUUGGAGGACAACAAGAAAAGUUAUUUUGCUGUAAAACAUUCUGCUCAUGAACCUGUGCUGAAAGUGAUCUUAAUAGUUUGUUAAUGUUGUUUGAAAUUGACAUGAGCCACCUUAGGAUUCUAUGCUUUGAUAAGUCUUUGUGGGUUUCUUCGCCGUCGCAUAUAUUUAAAGAAGCAAUUUAAGCUUAAGUAUUUGCCAAACUCUUAUUGAAUCUGCUGAAGACUUAUGUGGUAAAUGGUCUAAUGAUUACAUGGUAUGGAAAGCCAUGUUAGGUACAGCCUGCAUUUCAAAGCUGGUAUGUUGCUCCAUUAAAGACUCGAUCUCGAGUUUUAUCGCUCAGCUCUCACACUUUUGGGCCUACCUUGGGUCUGGAACGGAAAUCAGCUCAUGCUUCUUCACAUGAAAGACCAGUUGGUUGAGCCCAAGGCUCUUUUGGGUGUUGCUUUCUAAUGUCCCCUCUUAC
rnacentral:lncRNA from 1 species